ensembl:snRNA LOC120102753 U2 spliceosomal RNA
AUCGCUUCUCGGCCUUUUGGCUAAGAUCAAGUGUAGUAUCUGUUCUUAUCAGUUUCUUCAGCGAGGGAAAAUACACUGGAACCUUUCAUUGAUUCUGUGUUAGAAGAAAAUUUUCCAUCAGCUCUGAAAAUGAGUAUCCUAGGGAACUGCCUCUUACCUGCUUUUCUUUUUAUUUCUAUCUCUU